rnacentral:rRNA from 1 species
UACGUAGGGGGCAAGCGUUGUCCGGAAUCAUUGGGCGUAAAGAGCUCGUAGGCGGUUUGUCGCGUCUGCUGUGAAAACUCGGGGCUUAACCCCGGGCCUGCAGUGGGUACGGGCAGACUAGAGUGCGGUAGGGGAGACUGGAAUUCCUGGUGUAGCGGUGAAAUGCGCAGAUAUCAGGAGGAACACCGGUGGCGAAGGCGGGUCUCUGGGCCGUAACUGACGCUGAGGAGCGAAAGCGUGGGGAGCAAACAGG